rnacentral:rRNA from 1 species
UUAAAAUCUGGCGGCCUUCACCGUCCGAGUUGUAAUUUAGAGAAGCGUCUUCCGCGCCAGACCGUGCACAAGUCUCCUGGAAUGGAGCGUCAUAGAGGGUGAGAAUCCCGUCUUUGGCACGGAUGCCUGGUGCUUCUGUGAUGCGCUCUCGAAGAGUCGAGUUGUUUGGGAAUGCAGCUCAAAAUGGGUGGUGAACUCCAUCUAAAGCUAAAUAUUGGCGAGAGACCGAUAGCGAACAAGUACCGUGAGGGAAAGAUGAAAAGCACUUUGGAAAGAGAGUGAAACAGUACGUGAAAUUGUUGAAAGGGAAACGCUUGAAGUCAGUCGCGUUGGCCGAGACUCAGCCUUGCCUUGGCUUGGUGUACUUCUCGGAUCGACGGGUCAGCAUCAAUUUUGCCCCUCGGAUAAUGGCAAGGGAAAGGUGGCACCUCCGGGUGUGUUAUAGUCUUUUGCCGUACACGAGGGGUGGGAUUGAGGAACGCGGCGCUUGCGCUUAGGAUGCUGGCAUAAUGGCUUUAAACGACCCGUCUUGAAACACGGACCAAGGAGUCCAACAUGCCCGCGAGUGUUCGGGUGGAAAACCCGUGCGCGUAAUGAAAGUAAAAGUUGGGACCUCUGCCAGGAGGGCACCGACGCCCGGACCAGACCUCUUGUGACGGAUCUGCGGUAGAGCGUGUAUGUUGGGACCCGAAAGAUGGUGAACUAUGCCUGAAUAGGGUGAAGCCAGAGGAAACUCUGGUGGAGGCUCGUAGCGAUUCUGACGUGCAAAUCGAUCGUMAAUUUGGGUAUAGGGGCGAAAGACUAAUCGAACCAUCUAGUA